AUUGAACGCUGGCGGCAGGCCUAACACAUGCAAGUCGAGCGAGCGGCGGACGGGUGAGUAAUGUAUGGGGACUGCCCGAUAGAGGGGGAUAACUACUGGAAAAGGUGGCUAAUACCGCAUACUAUCGGAUAACCCAUAUGGGAUUAGCUAGUAGGUGGGGUAAAGGCUCACCUAGGCGACGAUCUCUAGCUGGUCUGAGAGGGUGAUCAGCCACACUGGGACUGAGACACGACCCAGACUCCUACGGAGGCAGCAGUGGGGAAUAUUCCGCAAUGGACGAAAGUCUGACCGAGCCAUGCCGCGUGUGUGAAGAAGGCCUUCGGAUUGUAAAGUUCUUUUGUUGGGGAAGCGUUAUCCACACAAAAAGCCCCGGCUAACUCCGUGCCAGCAGCCGCGGUAAUAC
rnacentral:rRNA from 1 species